ensembl:lncRNA
CCUCCCCGGAGCUCCCGUCUCCUCCCCUGCCUCAGGAAACGAGCCGAGCUGCCAAAGACCGUGCCUCCAGUUUCAUGAAUGAGAAGAAGAAACUUUCCAGAUGGUGAUGUCAAUGUAAUGUUAGGUGUCAGUUUGACUGGCCACGGGGUGCCCGGAUGAAACGUGAUUUCUGGGAGUAUCCGUGCGGGUGUUUCCGGGUGAGAUUCGCAUUGGAAGGUGUGGACUCAGGAAAGAAGAUGGCCCUCUCCCGUGUGGGUGGGCCUCAUCUGAUCCACUGAGGGCCCGAACAGAGCGGAAGACGGAGGAAAGAGGAAUUUGCUACUUUUUUCCUGACUCACUGCUUGAGCUGGAAUAUCACUUCUCAUUUGAUCUUCUAUAUCAUCCGCUUUUCUGGGUCUCCAGCAUGUAGAUGGCAGGCAGUGGGACUUCUCAGCCUCCAUGUCACGUGAGCCAAAUCCUCAUUGUAUAACUCUCCUUUGAGAUAGGUAGGUAGGUAGGUAGGCAGAUAGAUAGAUAGAUCCUAUUGGUUCUGUUUUUCUGGAGAACUCUACCUAAUAAGCAAGCCUAACUUGGGUUUAAAGAAGACAUUUGGUCCUGUCUCCUCUCUCCUCUGGUUGAUUACAGCAAUUUAUGUUUGCACAGGGAUCUGGAAGUCAAGGUGAGAAGCUCAUUCAGUGUGAGCUUUACAACACCCUCGGACCAUCCACAGAGCGAAUGCUACUCUCUUCUGCUGUCAUGAAGGAAAGACGUAGUGCAUUGUGACCUGCCAGAAGUCACACAGCCAGCAGACCAGCCCACCCUCAGCCUGGGUCUUCUGAUGCUGAGGCCAGGGCGUUUCCAGAACACCACGCUGAGACUUCACAAUGUAAUUUGAAAGUUUGAACCAAAAGGGCUUCUGAGAAGCAUUCAGUUGACAAGAAGCAGACAGCUCCUCCUCCUUCCCGCCCAUUCAUCUGCUCCCUGAGCCCUCUGGACAACGGGAGAAUUUAGUUUGAAUGCCCGUUUCUAACAACUCCGUUUCCCGAGUUUCUGAGCAACCCAGGCACCCACUAUCUGUCAUCAAGAGGGUGACCACUGUGUCUGCCCAGCUUGGUCAUGGACUGCGGCCUUCAGAUGGGAGAAGAUGCUUCCAGACUUUGCCCGGUCAUUCUUCUCCACACCUUAACCCACCUGAAAACAGAUGCAGCGAGAAGCAUCUUUCUCUGCCCGGCGGUCUCCUCACAGAUGUCUCCCGAAACAUUUUUUCACCACACCUUUUUGCCUUCGAAAAGGGAUCAACACACAGUCCCUGUCUGGGGAGCCGUGGUGCAGGGGAGUGUAGCAAGUUAAACCCAGUCUCCACCACUCACCGGGUAAUCUUGGACGCGUUAUUGGUCUCUCCGAGCUGUUUCUAUGCUCACAAGACAGAGGAGGAGAAAUGGUGCGUGUCCUCUCAUCCCCAGUCCCCCCACCCCUGCUCCCUGCCCCGAGCUGGGCAUUCCAAGCAGAAAGCAGACCCCUUCGGGCACCCAGCUGGGAUCAAUUCAGCAGAGCCACGCAGAAUGUGA